rnacentral:rRNA from 1 species
CAGCCGCCGCGGUAAUACGAAGGGGGCUAGCGUUGCUCGGAAUGACUGGGCGUAAAGGGCGCGUAGGCGGCGGCCAAAGUCAGGCGUGAAAUUCCCGGGCUCAACCUGGGGGCUGCGUUUGAUACUUGGUUGCUUGAGUGGGGAAGAGGGUCGUGGAAUUCCCAGUGUAGGGGUGAAAUUCGUAGAUAUCGGAAAGAACACCAACGACGAAAGCACUCUGCUGGGCCGACACUGACACUGAGAGACGAAAGCUAGGGGAGCAAAUGGGAUUAGAUACCCCCGUAGUCCCUGUCUCUUAUAC